GUGAAAUGGAUGUAAUAUAGGGUUUGUCGAAUGCUUUUAACUCCUUCCAUGGUCUU
rnacentral:misc_RNA from 1 species